GACAGAGGGUGCAAACGUUGUUCGGAAUUACUGGCGUAAAGCGAGUGUAGGCGGUCUUGAAAGUCGGAUGUGAAGCCCUGGCUCAACCAGGAAGUGCAUUCGAUACUCCAAGGCUAGAGUACUGGAGAGGUGGUGGAAUUCUCGUGUAGAGGUGAAUUCGUAGAUAUCGAGAGGAACACCGGCGGCGAAGCGCCACUGACAGAUACUGACGCUGAGACUCGAAGCGUGGAGCAACAG
rnacentral:rRNA from 1 species